rnacentral:rRNA from 1 species
GAUGAACGCUGGCGGCGUGCCUAAUACAUGCAAGUCGAGCGAACGGACGAGAAGCUUGCUUCUCUGAUGUUAGCGGCGGACGGGUGAGUAACACGUGGAUAACCUACCUAUAAGACUGGGAUAAUUUCGGGAAACCGGAGCUAAUACCGGAUAAUAUUUUGAACCGCAUGGUUCAAAAGUGAAAGACGGUCUUGCUGUCACUUAUAGAUGGAUCCGCGCUGCAUUAGCUAGUUGGUAAGGUAACGGCUUACCAAGGCAACGAUGCAUAGCCGACCUGAGAGGGUGAUCGGCCACACUGGAACUGAGACACGGUCCAGACUCCUACGGGAGGCAGCAGUAGGGAAUCUUCCGCAAUGGGCGAAAGCCUGACGGAGCAACGCCGCGUGAGUGAUGAAGGUCUUCGGAUCGUAAAACUCUGUUAUUAGGGAAGAACAUAUGUGUAAGUAACUGUGCACAUCUUGACGGUACCUAAUCAGAAAACCACGGCUAACUACGU